AUAUCAAUAAGCGGAGGAAAAGAAACUAACAAGGAUUCCCCUAGUAACUGCGAGUGAAGAGGGAAAAGCUCAAAUUUAAAAUCUGGCAGCUUCGCUGUCCGAGUUGUAAUUUAGAGAAGUGUUACCCGCGUUGGACCGUGUACAAGUCUCCUGGAACGGAGCGUCAUAGAGGGUGAGAAUCCCGUCUUUGACACGGACUACCAAGGCUUUGUGGUACGCUCUCGAAGAGUCGAGUUGUUUGGGAAUGCAGCUCUAAAUGGGUGGUAAAUUCCAUCUAAAGCUAAAUAUUGGCGAGAGACCGAUAGCAAACAAGUACCGUGAGGGAAAGAUGAAAAGAACUUUGGAAAGAGAGUUAAACAGUAC
rnacentral:rRNA from 1 species